AACACACACCAACACACACCAACACACACCAACACACACCAGAACUGGUCCAACACUCACUAACACCACACAACACACUCACUAACACACCAACACACACCAACACACACAGAACUGGUCCAACACUCACUAACACACACCAACACACUCACACACACACCAACACACACCAGAACUGGUCCAACACUCACUAACACACACCAACACACUCACACACACACCAACACACACCAACACACUCACUAACACACACCAGAACACUCACUAACACAGUGUAACCCUGCGUUCACGCUAGCAAGUGACAGUUGCAACAACUUCAUGUUUUGUGCGACAAGCAGCAAUUUAAUUCACAUAGAUAGUCAUAAUUGUACGAACAGCGAUAAAUCCGUACGAUUGGCUCGGCAAAAUUCCUCGGACCAAUAGUACGGCCCGAGUUACAUCGAAUCGGCGCUUAGGUUCCGUUCGACCGCAGAAACACCGCAGUCGUACAUCUUCCUGGGUUUAUUUGUGACAUUAACAGUGACAUUUUAAACAAACAAACAAAACACGGUGAUGUUUAUGAACUUAUCGUUAGAGCAUGUAUACUGCCAUUUCACAUCGGAACCUGAAAAAUGACAGGCCACGCCCACAAAAGGGCUGCAUUGUUUAGCUGACUUCUAGAGUCCCAGACAGUAGUAUGUUGAAGUGAGUGUCCCAGUGGUACCCACACAGUCUGCAUUUCCCAUAGGUUUCCCAGCUAAUAUUACCUACGAGGCAGGGGGCGGAGCUUAGUGACGGUUUGCUUCGCUGGAUUCAAGCAUGCCUUUUAGAGAGGUGCAAAUGAAAUGCGUAAACAUAAUCAAGGGAACGGUGAAUUGAAUUCUGUGGUAUAAAUGAUAUGAUAAAUGACGUGCUAGUGUGUCCCAGUACUUGCGUAGCCAUUUUUGUGUGUUUUUCUUCACAAAAAGAGUGUGUAACGCCGUCCUUACAGUAUGUACAGAUGGGAUCGAGCUAGCAUGGACGCAGAGUAACGCUACGACGUUAAGGGUCUUUCAGACUUUCACACUUGUGCUUAUUUCCAGAUCUGAAGGUCUUUGAACUGGGUGUAACUUUUUUGCACACUAGAGACCCCGAUAUCUGAUCCACCUGAGUUCAAGGCUGAGAAUACCCAAACACACACUAACACUAGCAUACAUACACAAUAAAUAAAUGGUAAAACACACACACACUCACACUGCACCACUGUCUAUCACUGCAAUAGCACACAGAGUGUAAACAGCUUGAUCAUUAUCACCAGCGGAACACCUCCAUCCUUUUCAGCCUGCCGAGGAGGCCGAGUCUGAAAGGUUUUACACCUGGCAUCAACACUAAAUUAACACUAUGUUUAAUGAAACAGUGCUCGUUUAGGGCCUUUAAGUGUCCUGCUCAUAUAUCACUGAUUCAUCAUUUUAAUUACACAUUCAUCAGCAAAACGUUUCUUACAUCACGUUGUGUUUAUAUUUAAUGUCGGGCCUUUAGAUAUAUAUUUAUAUAUUUUCUACUUUGUUUUAGAGGAUGGUUAUAGAGUGUGUAUGCUCUUGUACCCUGCACUUCUUAUUCACUCAUUCAUGUCUAUUGAUAUCUUACGCCAAAUGUAGUGGAUCAGCUGAGACGUGCUCUAUUUGCUUCUUUAAGCUGAGUUCACACAAACAGCAAGCGGCUGGGGAUCAGGUGGUAGAGCGGGUCGUCCAAUAAUCGUAGGGUCGGCGGUUCGAUUCCCGGCCCACGUGACUCCACAUGACUCCACAUACCGGAGUGUCCUUGGGCAAGACACUGAACCCCAAAUUGCUCCCGAUGGCAAGUUAGUGCCUAGCAUGACAGCUCUGCUACCACUGGUGUGUGUGUGUGUGUGUGUGAAUUACAGUGUAAAGUGCUUUGUAGAACCACUAAAGUUAAAAAAGUGCUCCAUGUACCAUUUAUGGCUGCAAGUCGGCAGUCGCUGUACUAUGAAGUCACCAGUAUACGUUCCUACUACUGGUUGCCAUAGUAACCCAUUUAUCAGUGGGUAACUAUCAUUCCACUUUUGACAUCAAACCGCUAAAAAGAAACAUUCUGGAGGGUGAGCGUUUGUAUACAAAAUACAUCAGUGUAUACUGUAUAUGCAUCAUAUCCUACGAGAUGAAGGUGAAGCAGUGUGUGUGCCUUAGCACGUUUAAAGCAAAAUAAUAGCUAGCGAGCACAGGAGGCUACGAAUCACGUCAUAUUUGAAACUUUUCUCAACUUUAUCACGUCGCCAGACACACCCACGUCUAGUCCCCGGCAGUCGCUGUCGCCGGAAGUCGCGAGCUUGUGUGAUGGUACCUUUCGUUUUUGCUCUGCAGCACUGUGACUAUGCAGUUCGCACCACGCUUGCAUGUAUUACUUGUUAUCUACUUCAUCCAUAUAGCUCCAGUGCAAACUACGAGGCUGACGCGUUCGUGUUGUCCGAUCGGCCACGUCUGCGGUACGGCCGGACAUCGUACACGUUUUACGUUUCGUUUCUGCCAGAAUUAUUCUUCUAAAUGCAUGUAUCAUUUCAUCGCCACGAUCCUCUUUUAAGUGACAAGAGAUCAAUCGUCUGCUGAGGCUGGUUCAUUCUGCACCUUCAUCGUCCACCGCAUCAGCAGAAAACACUGUAGUUCUCGUAAACACCACCAAACAAGACGGAGGAAUAACACCAGCAUGUCCACACCAUCAUCACCACCCUGUCUUUAAUAGAGGAGCAGGUACAUAUACUGUUCUAUUUCUUAUUUUGUCAUUCCUUACAGUAUCUGUCCUGCGUCAGGUGUCCACGCCGCCAGCAGCUGGUCCGCCCUUUUUAUUUGUGUCAUCACACAACUGCAAUAAGCGUGUGGGUCUGUGACAGGGUGGACACGCAGUUUAUUCUCUCUCCGGCGAAUCGAUCGGCCUGUGAUUAUUCGACCUUUCGUCCGUGCGCUACGAGUUGAUGAUUAGCGAUAAGGGAAGGAAAAUGAAACAGCAGUGUAUUAGUGCGUCGCGAUAGCCGAAAGGAAGUCUAAGGCGAUCGUUAUGUAAUAAGUUAUAGACUAGACGCUCGUUUAGCGCCUCGGAGCGCUAAUCUGUGACCAAACAUUCACACCGUCGUUCAGCUGCACUCUUCUCACCAGAAUCGACCCGAUAAUAACGCAAGGCGAGCUGACAAAGAGACGACAUUCAUUUCACACUGCAAUAGAUUCUACCGACGGCGGAAUAAUUCACAGGUUCGAGCGUUAAAGCGUUGACGGUUUUAUUUUGUACCAGAAUGUUUGAUUUGAUUCGAGACUGUGAUCAUGACAAUAAAAGAAUUUGUAAAGGAUCUUGUAAAAUAUUUCCAGGUUGUUAAUAGAAUUUGAGCUUGUAAAGAGAUAUUCAUGACAAAUAUUUAAGCUUGUAAAAAGUUUUUUUUUCUCCUUUUUUUUAAGUUGGAAAGGGAUUUAGAACUUUAAAAAAAAAAAAAAAAAAGGCUUGUAAAACGAUUACAGAUGUAUUAAAACCUGCAGUUGUUUUCAGACUGUCAUUCGUUUUUUCCUAAAUCAUCAUCAGAGACAUCAGAGGUGAUGAACAGAAAUGUCAUCAUGCACACAUCUCUGCUUCUUCUGUGUCCCAAUCAGAAGGACUUUCUAACACUGUCCAAUCAGGAGAUGAGUCUGAAGAUCCAGAGACUGGAGGAAAAGCCUUCUCUGGCAUGCGGAGAACCAGGUCUGUUUGUGACUGCCAGAUACACCAUGGAGCAAAGUUAGCUGAGGUGGAACAUAGGUGUGGUUCCUCACACGGGGCACUGGUAAUGUAAGUGCUGUUUCUCACAAGAAGUACUAGUAAUGUAGAUGCUGUUCCUCACACCAAUGAUGUAGAUGCUGUCCUCAAACCCGUACUGUAGAUGCUGUUCCUCACACCAAUGAUGUAGAUGUUCCUCACACCCAGUAAUGUAAAUGUUCCUCACACCAGUAAUGUAGAUGCUGUUCCUCACACCAAUGAUGUAGAUGUUGUUCCUCACACCAGUAAUGUAGAUGUUCCUCACACCAAUGAUGUAGGGUCCUGUUCCUCACACCAGUAAUGUAGAUGUGUUCCUCACACCAGUAAUGUAGAUGCUGUUCCUCACACCAGUAAUGUAGAUGUUCCUCACACCAGUAAUGUAGAUGUUCCUCACACCCAUAAUGUAGAUGUUCCUCACACCAGUAAUGUA
ensembl:lncRNA